GGUGACUCCUGGUCUCGCUCUCUCGAGGCCCAGGUUGGAGGAGGCACUUAUUUCCUGCGCUAUCGUGUGCCAGGUGCUUGUCACCUGUCCCUUUCCUCCCUGCACACCCUGUUGUGGGAGAAAUGUACCAACGUGCCACCUAAUUACAGAUGAUUAGGGGGCUGGGUGCAAGGUGCUGCCCAGGUGGGGACAGGCACCAGUGACAUCCUGGCCUCAGCACAGUCGGUGAGGGACGUGCAAGCCCCAGGUCUGUGCCAUGUGUGUCGAGGGCUGGGCUGCCCACAGCCCUGUGUGGGGUCUGGAGAGUGACCACAGCCCAACCGGAAAGGUGACGUUUGAGACGACCUCAGACCUUUGGUACCCUGGAAGCUGGUGGGCUGAUGGGGUCUGCCUGGGAUCGCCGGGUCGAAGGAAUGAGCAAAGGGCCCUCCUGGGAAGGGAAGUGUGGGGGCGGCAGGGGUGCAGGAGACACCGGAGCAGAGGGGCGACCACACUCAGACCAGGAGACACAGGAGCGGAGGGACCCCCACACACAGACCAGGGUCCCGCACGCCUUCCCUCCUGGCCAGGUGCUGCUGGAAAGUGAUUCGUGAAUGUUCUCAGUUUGCUCGUCUGCACAAGGCGGGCAAAGCCUCCUGACUUCACAGGACCGCUGCUGUGUCGGAGUGUGGCGGUGUCGUUGGCAAACAGCAAAUCCUCAGUGAACAGCAACGGUUUUCACUAAGAUGCUAAGAGUCACAGGACUUGGGGGGAACUGCUGUUGAGGGAAGGGAGAAGAGAGCGUUGCUUGGGUGGUGACUCGGUUUCCGGUGCAUUUCUGUUCCUCUUCCAAGGCCUGAUUCGGAGGUCUCUUCCGGUCAAGACUUCCUCACCCGCCGAGCUGCCUCGGGUGUGAUGCACUGUGCGGUCUGGAGUUUCUUGUGUCCCUGUCCCUGGUGUCCUGACUCGAGUCUCUAGCUGUGACUCCACCACCCUCAGAGGAGACUUGGCGUGGUUACGGGAUGAAAGCUGCUGAAACUGUUGGAAGAAUCACAGUGCAUGCCCUAAAAAUUUACAUCCACUGUGAUCUGAACACCCCGAAAUUGCAUUUUGUUCACAAGAGGAUUAUAGAAUUAAGAGUAGCAACUCUCGGGAGUUGUGGCUCAGAGGUAAUGAGCCCAACUAGUAUCCCUGAGGACACAGAUUCAAUCCCUGGCCUCGCUCCUUGGGUUAAGGAUCUGGUGUCAUGAGCUGUGGUGUUCCAGACAUGGCUCCAAUCCGGCGUUGCUGUGGCUGUGGUGUAGGCGGGUGGCUACAGCUCUGACUGGACCCUUAGCCUGGGAGUUUCACAUACUGGGGGUGCAGCCCUAAAAAGAAGGUAACUCCAAAUGUUAUUUAAAGUGCAGCCAAACGAGGUCCUGCCCCUGACAGUGUGCUGGGAAUAUGAAGAAAAAAAAAACAGUGGGGAUGGAAAAACAGAUUAAACCCCUUAUCAGGUAGCAUUGGUCACUGAAGAUACGUAGUCGUCUGAUGGAAUUCUUGCUGUGGCUCAAUGGGUUAAGAACCCAACUAGUAUCCAUGAGGAUGUGGGUUCGAUCCCUGACCUCACUCCGUGAGUUAAGGAUCCUGCAUUGCCACAGGCUGUGAUGUAGGUUGCAGAUGUGGCUUGGAUCCCACGUUGCUGUGGCUGUGGUGUAGGGCUCAGCUGCAGCUCCAAUUUGAACCCUAGUGUGGGAACUUCCGUAUGCCACAGGUGUAGCCCUAAAAGAAAAAUAAAUACAUCAAUCAAUCAAUCAAAUCAUGUCCCUUUAAAAAAAAAGCAAGAUAUGUAGUUGUCUGAAAUUUUAGCAGAUUCUGUAGAUCAAAUAACUGAGAAAUGUUGAAAGUUUCUUCAUGAGACUGGGGUCCUGAGAACGUUCGAGGGGGGUCUCCGAUGUCUGUCGUUACUGGACUCUCCCCAGAUCUCAAGCCUGAUUCAUGUGGCGGGUGUGCUGCACGUGCUGCUGAAAUGUCGGGGCCUCUGUCCCCCGAUGCCAGAUAGAAACCCAGGGACAGAGCCGGCGGAAACAGCAAAGGUAGUUUUAAUAGCCAGACCAAGAGGGGACACGGCAGGCUUGAGCCUCAAGGACGGCGCCCCCGUGAAAGGGGUGGCGAGGCGUCUGACAGCGUUUGAGGAGCCGGCGUGCUCAGCUCGGGGAGCCUUUCCUGACUGGCGGGUGGUGGGGUCCCUGGGAGUCAGCGUCAUCAGCCUUCUGGUUCCAGCCGGUCUGGGGUCCCCGUGCUUGGGGGCAGCACGCAGUGGCCGUCUUCCACCCGGUGGGGCUUCCGCACCCGCAGAACAGCUCCAAGGACGGGGCUCAGAAUAUGACCUACAGUCUUUGAAGAACGGAAGGUCCCUGACGUUGUCCAAUGGCGAAUUAUUAUUGUUGUUUUCCUUUUUCUCUGUAUUUUCUCACUUCUCUGAUUAAAUUGAUUCUUUGAC
rnacentral:lncRNA from 1 species